GUCGGAUAGCGUAGUGGCUAGCGCUCCAGAGUUGCCCUCGCAAGGUCACUGGUUCGAGUCUAGUGGAUGACA